GGGUCGACUCCGAUGCUCUAGAUUACGCGAAGAACUUACCUACUCUUGACAUCCAGAGAAGCCAGCGGAGACGCAGGUGUGCCUUCGGGAACUCUGAGACAGGUGCUGCAUGGCUGUCGUCAGCUCGUGUUGUGAAAUGUUGGGUUAAGUCCCGCAACGAGCGCAACCCUUAUCCUUGUUUGCCAGCGAGUAAUGUCGGGAACUCCAGGGAGACUGCCGGUGAUAAACCGGAGGAAGGUGGGGACGACGUCAAGUCAUCAUGGCCCUUACGAGUAGGGCUACACACGUGCUACAAUGGCGCAUACAGAGGGCAGCCAACUUGCGAAAGUGAGCGAAUCCCAAAAAGUGCGUCGUAGUCCGGAUUGGAGUCUGCAACUCGACUCCAUGAAGUCGGAAUCGCUAGUAAUCGUGGAUCAGAAUGCCACGGUGAAUACGUUCCCGGGUCUUGUA
rnacentral:rRNA from 1 species